UACAGAGGAGCCAAGCGUUGUCCGGAUUGACUGGGCGUAAAGCGCACGCAGGCGGAUGCGCGCGUGGGGUGUGAAAUCUGGCCGCUUAACGGCCAGGCGCCAUCCCAUACGGCGCGUCUGGAGUGAUGCAGAGGUCGGUGGAAUUGCCGGUGUAGUGGUGAAAUGCGUAGAGAUCGGCAGGAACACCCAGGGGGAAACCAGCCGACUGGGCAUCUGCUGACGCUGAUGUGCGAGAGCGUGGGGAGCGAACCGG
rnacentral:rRNA from 1 species